CGUGGAUUCUGGCCACAGUACAGCGGUCAGGUUUAUCAUCGACGAGGCGGUGAGGCUCUUGCUCUCUCUCACACACACAUACACACAGUCUCUUCCCCUUCCCACCACGCACACCUCUUUUGCCGAGGUGGAUGUUGCCGAGAGUAGUGCGGCUGGAGGCCGCCAUCCCCCCAGCACAUCAGAGCGUGUUUGACUUCCUGCUCAGCGUGGCUGCAGAAAACAAGCUCAAGGCAACGCUGCGUGUAGCGGGUGGGUGGGUGCGGGACAUGUUGCUCGGCUUGCACUCGAACGACAUUGACAUUGCCAUCGAGACCCACGCAGGCACGAAGCUCGUGACAGGUGAAGCCUUCGCCCACCGCGUAUCCGAGUACCAGUUGGCUCACGGCGGCCGGGGCCACACAGUGAGCGUCAUUCGGUCCAACCCGGCCCUCUCCAAGCACAUUGAAACUGCCACGGUACGUGUUCACGAAAUCCCGGUAGAGUUCUGUGCUCUUCGCACGGACGUGUACACAAAUGAGUCGCGCAUUCCCCAAGUGCGCCCGGCGGCUCCCGUGGAGGAUGCGCAGCGCCGAGACUUCACCAUCAACGCUCUCUUCUACAACUUGCACACCGGCAUGGUGGAGGACUACACCACCGGCUUGGAGGACCUGCGUCUGCGCAUCAUUCGGUGCCCGCUGGAGCCGCGGACGACCUUCAUGGACGACCCGCUUCGCCUGCUGCGCGGCGUGCGUUUUGUUGGCCAGCUAGGCGCGCUCAACUUUUCGCUGGAUGAGUCGAUCACCAGCUGCAUGGAUGAUGCCCUGCUUCAAGUGCUUCAGCAGAAGGUGUCUCGGGAGCGUGUCGGGAAGGAGUUUGUGAAGAUGAUGGCGGCCGCUCACCCGGAGCGGUGCAUCGCACUGCUGCAUGACAUGCACAUUCUGCAGCACGUCUUACUUGUCAGUGUGGUGAUGCGGCAGGUGCCCGGCAAGAAGCAGUUGUCAAAUGAGAUUGAGCGAGUGGAGAGGUUGGUAGAUCUUUAUCCGGAUGGAUCUAAGAGGCUGGAGACAGUGAUGCGACUGAGUGCUGUCGGCUUGCCGUGCCUCGCCAAUGUCGGCGUGGCGGCCGAGUUGUCCGAGGGACAGCGAGUGGAGGUGGCUCUCUUCUUUCUCGUCAUUCCUUUCUUUCGUGGUGCGACAGAGAGUGUUGAAGAGACGGUGCGCAAUGUCUGCAUGAAUGGGCUGAAGCUUCCGUUGGCGAGCUGCGACUGUGUGCGACGCUUGAUCGACGCGUACAACCAUCUUCACGCGCAGUCCAUGAGGAUGGAUGAGCUCGUCGCCGAGACGCUUCGUCCCGAAACGGUGAGAAAGGUGUUUGAUGCCUUGAACAUCCUGAGCGACAAGCACGUCUUUCGUCAUGCCCUCCAAGUUGUUCUGCUAGUCUACAUGCUAAUCGAGGAAUCAGCGCACCUACUGUCAGACGGCAGACUACAGCAGGCUACGAGCGACUUCUCCGCGGCGUGGGCGCGGGUCGCCGAGCACCCCGUGUUGUUGGAUGCCUUCCAGCUGAGGCUGCCCAUCAAUGGAAAGGACCUGCAGAAGGUUUACGGUAUUCCACCCAAGAACGUUGGAUCAACACUGCUAAAGAUGCGGCUCAAACUCGUGCUCUGCCCCCGGAUGACGCCUGAAGACGUUGCGCAGUGGCUGGUGGAGGGUGCGCAGGUGUGACUCGGCCGCUGUCGAGCGGGACACCGUCCUUGGUGUCGCAGGAGACUUGAUUCCGGGUCUUAAUCCGCAUGGCAGUUUGUGCAGCUGCGCGGUGCUCACAAAACGGACGUGGUGGCAUUGGCUGCGCCUAGCAGUGUACUGUGGAAAGAAAAGAUAAUCGACACCUCG
rnacentral:misc_RNA from 1 species